AGAAGCCUUAAACCAGAUGGUGACUAAGGGAUUACGAGGCAGAGAAGCCUUAAACCAGAUGGUGACCAAGGGAUUACGAGGUAGAGGAAGGGGCCUUCCGCCCCAGUCCUAAAAGAAAAUGUAAAAUUAUUUUUUGUGGCUGUACUUAUUCUUGCAGAUGUGAUAAUGAUUUCCAUCUCAAAUUGUCUGAAUUUAGGGGUCUGCACAAAAUUAUAUCAAAAAAUGUAUAUUAGUGAAAAAGUAAUGAAUGCUUUGCCAGCCAAUGUGAAAACAUUGAAUAGAUUAUGUCUUAUGGCUGUUAAGGAAAUAUUUGGCAUACUAUUUUUGUGUCCUUUUCUUGUGAACUUUAAUAAAUUCAAUGGUCCCCAUGCUAGCCAUGCCAAUUGAUCUCACUAAUAUAUUUAUUCUCAAGCAAGAAUGACUUAAUCUUAAGUUGUAUUACAAAAUCAACUGGGUCUUAUGCAGCUCAUGGCAAAACAGAAUAGUUAUGAUUUAGUAAGUUAAGAUUAAAUUGCCUAUCUUUAAGUGGCUUUGCCAAAACAUGUAUCAGCCACUGCAUAUGUUUGUGAAAUAGUGCUAGUCAGAGCACUUUGUUGAUAUUAAGUUUGGAAUUAGAAUUGACAUGUUUUUGUUAACUUUGUUUCUUUUUGUUGUUUGAUAAGUUUAUAACAAACAUUUCAUUAUUUCAAAUUUGAAGUUUGUUAUUUUAUAUUCAACCUGUUAUAAAUUUGUUAAUAAAAUUAACUAUUUAAAUCUU